UACGAAGGGGGCUAGCGUUGUUCGGAAUUACUGGGCGUAAAGCGCACGUAGGCGGAUCGUUAAGUGAGGGGUGAAAUCCCAGGGCUCAACCCUGGAACUGCCUUUCAUACUGGCGAUCUAGAGUCCGGAAGAGGUGAGUGGAACUCUUAGUGUAGAGGUGGAAUUCGUAGAUAUUAGGAAGAACACCAGUGGCGAAGGCGGCUCACUGGUCCGGUACUGACGCUGAGGUGCGAAAGCGUGGGGAGCAAACAGG
rnacentral:rRNA from 1 species